rnacentral:rRNA from 1 species
AGCAGCCGCGGUAAUUCCAGCUCCAAUAGCGUAUAUUAAAGUUGUUGCAGUUAAAAAGCUCGUAGUUGAAUUUCGGGAUUAAUUUAUUGGUCGUGCUAUUGUACGUACUGGUAUUAUUGAUUCCUACCUUCUGACGAACCACGAUGUCAUUAAUUUGGUGUCAUGGGGAAUCAGGACUGUUACUUUGAAAAAAUUAGAGUGUUUAAAGCAGGCUCACGCUUGAAUACAUUAGCAUGGAAUAACGAAAUAGGACGUUUGAUUCUAUUUUGUUGGUUUCUAGGAUCGACGUAAUGAUUAAUAGGGAUAGUUGGGGGCAUUAGUAUUCAAUUGUCAGAGGUGAAAUUCUUGGAUUUAUUGAAGACUAACUACUGCGAAAGCAUUUGCCAAGGAUGUUUUCAUUAAUCAAGAACGAAAGUUAGGGGAUCGAAGACGAUCAGAUACCGUCGUAGUCUUAACCAUAAACUAUGCCGACUAGGGAUCGGAUGAUGUUAAUUUUUAAUGACUCAUUCGGCGCCUUAAC